rnacentral:rRNA from 1 species
GAUGAACGCUGGCGGCGUGCCUAAUACAUGCAAGUCGAGCGAACAGACGAGGAGCUUGCUCCUCUGACGUUAGCGGCGGACGGGUGAGUAACACGUGGAUAACCUACCUAUAAGACUGGGAUAACUUCGGGAAACCGGAGCUAAUACCGGAUAAUAUAUUGAACCGCAUGGUUCAAUAUUGAAAGACGGUUUUGCUGUCACUUAUAGAUGGAUCCGCGCCGCAUUAGCUAGUUGGUAAGGUAACGGCUUACCAAGGCAACGAUGCGUAGCCGACCUGAGAGGGUGAUCGGCCACACGGGAACUGAGAAACGGUCCAGACUCCUACGGGAGGCAGCAGUAGGGAAUCUUCAGCAAUGGGCGAAAGCUUGACGGAGCAACGCCGCGUGAGUGAUGAAGGUCUUAGGAUCGUAAAACUCUGAUAUUAGGGAAGAACAAAUGUGUAAGUAACUAUGCAAGUCUUGACGGUACCUAAUCAGAAAGCCACGGCUAACUAAGGG